rnacentral:rRNA from 1 species
AUUGAACGCUGGCGGCGUGCUUAACACAUGCAAGUCGAGCGGUAACGCGGGAGCAAUCCUGGCGACGAGCGGCGAACGGGUGAGUAAUGCUUCGGAAUCUGCCCUAUAGUGGGGAAUAACCAGCCGAAAGGUUGGCUAAUACCGCAUAAGCCCUUCGGGGGAAAGCAGGGGAUCGUAAGACCUUGCGCUGAUGGAUGAGCCGAAGUCGGAUUAGCUAGUUGGUAGGGUAACGGCCUACCAAGGCGACAAUCCGUAGCUGGUCUGAGAGGACGACCAGCCACACUGGGACUGAGACACGGCCCAGACUCCUACGGGAGGCUG